CUGAUUGGAUAAAAAUCCAGCCAAGGGAGGUAAUAAAAUCAUAGGGCCAAGCCGUGGAUGCAUCCAGGGUAUAGUAGAGAGUGAUCGUAACAUAUACCCAGGAGAUUAUCGAGGAUGAACAGUUCAAAGAGAUGACACAAUCACCACACUGUACAUGAGGUGUGAGAAUGGAUUCUAGGACAUCCUGGUCUUCUUGAAACUAAUUGGGAGUGAGUGAGUGAGUUUGGUUUUACACCGCUUUUAGCAAUAUUUCAGCAAUAUCACGGCGUGGAACAUGAAACUAAUGAGUAAUGAUUCAAAGUAUUGUUGAGGAAGAAUUUAGUCAACAUUUAGUCAGAACAUCUGAUGUGUCAUCUAAAAUUUAAAUUAUGUUAUAAUUGAUAGACUAGACAAGCAUAAUUUAUGAUCCUUGUUUUUUUAAACAAAGUUCUCCACCCUUGAGUUGGUGAAGCUGAGUUAAAUGUAAGAAAAUGUUGAUCGGUUCUUGAUAAGUUUCUGUUGGUGUGUAAAUAGGAAGAAUCAGCAUCAUGUGACUCUAGAAACUGAAAAUAUGGAAGCAAUUAAUUGGUACAAAAUCCAAACCAGUUGUGGUACAAUCACAGAGUGACAUAAUAAACAAAUACCGGGUCAGUCAUUCCCACAGCUGCUUGAAACACAAACACUGGUAGGCAUAGCCCUACAUUUGUCACUGCUGGGUUUUUAGUUGCGAAUAAAGGGCCUUUAGUAUAGCACGAAGACCACAGCAGUGACAAUACAUACCUUGAUGCUAGUUUAUUGUGACAAGUCCCUGUGGUCAAUCGCACUAACAUUUACAUCAAUAUUAAUCUAAUCAAAAAUAUUUACACAAAUGUUCACCAAAACAAAAUCAACAAAUAUGUAAAACAGUUAUUGACAGAAACAUUCACUCAUAAAGAAUCACAUAAAUAUUUGCACAUGAAACACUCACAUUCAUUCACUCAAACAUUCAUACAAAUUUUUAUCAAAUAUUUAACCCAUCAUUCAUGCAAACAAUUAUUCCAAUAUUAACAGACCCAAAACAUUCACACAAUCCAACCAGUGUUAUAGUGUUUGGUGAUGAUGCUUUAAGUUGCAAUAUUUGUCUGUGUUUUUGUUCAUGUUUGUGGUACAAGUUGGUGGGAAUAGUUUGGAAGGAAAUCUGUAUGCCCUGUAAAUGUAUACAUACAGAUGGUCCUUUAGUCUUUUAUGUGUAAUGUUGACUAUAUGAUAUAUCAUAUUUCCGGAAUAAAUGAUACGUGACAUUC